AUUGAACGCUGGCGGCAUGCUUUACACAUGCAAGUCGAACGGUAACAGGUUAAGCUGACGAGUAGCGAACGGGUGAGUAAUGUAUCGGAACGUGCCCAGUCGUGGGGGAUAACUGCUCGAAAGAGCAGCUAAUACCGCAUACGACCUGAGGGUGAAAGCGGGGGAUCGCAAGACCUCGCGCGAUUGGAGCGGCCGAUAUCAGAUUAGGUAGUUGGUGGGGUAAAGGCCUACCAAGCCUACGAUCUGUAGCUGGUCUGAGAGGACGACCAGCCACACUGGGACUGAGACACGGCCCAGACUCCUACGGGAGGCAGCAGUGGGGAAUUUUGGACAAUGGACGCAAGUCUGAUCCAGCCAUGCCGCGUGCGGGAAGAAGGCCUUCGGGUUGUAAACCGCUUUUGUCAGGGAAGAAAAGGUUCUGGCUAAUACCUGGGACUCAUGACGGUACCUGAAGAAUAAGCACCGGCUAACUACGUGCCAGCCGCCGCAGUAACAC
rnacentral:rRNA from 1 species